CUUUACUGCAACUUGACGUUGGAACUUGGCUGUAUUUGUGUAGGAUAGGUGGGAGACUUUGAAACAGGGCCGCCAGGUCUUGCGGAGUCGUCGUUGAAAUACCACCCUGGUGCUGACGAGUUUCUAACCGUGUCCGUAAGCCGGACAUGAGACAACGUCUGGUGGGCAGUUUAACUGGGGCGGUCGCCUCCUAAAAGGUAACGGAGGCAUUCAAAGGUCCCCUCAGCGUGGUCGGUAAUCACGCGCAGAGUGCAAACGCAUAAGGGGGCUUAACUGCGAGACCGACAGGUCGAGCAGGUACGAAAGUAGGAGUUAGUGAUCCCGCGGUUUAGCGUGGAAUUGCCGUUGCUCAAUAGAUAAAAGGUA
rnacentral:rRNA from 1 species